CUUCCGUAGGGGUGAACCUGCGGAAGGAUCAUUACUGUGAUUUAUAUCUUAUACACAUGCGUGAGCGCACCAAACACCUAAAAUUGUAAUACUAAUUGUCAGUAAGUUUUAACAAAACAAAACUUUCAACAACGGAUCUCUUGGUUCUCGCAUCGAUGAAGAGCGCAGCGAAAUGCGAUACCUAGUGUGAAUUGCAGCCAUCGUGAAUCAUCGAGUUCUUGAACGCACAUUGCGCCCCAUGGUAUUCCAUGGGGCAUGCCUGUCUGAGCGUCGUUUCCUUCUUGCGCAAGCAGAGUUGAGAACAGGCUAUGCCUUUUUCGAAAUGGAACGUCGUGGACGAAGUGAACUAAACAUUUAGCACGCUUUGGCCGCCGAACUUUUAACUAAGCUCGACCUCAGAUCAGGUAGGAAUACCCGCUGAACUUAAGCAUAUCAAAAGGCCGGAGGAAG
rnacentral:rRNA from 1 species